AUGGCAUAACGAGGGCUUAACUGUCUCCUUUUUCCAGUCAAUGAAAUUGAUUUCCCCGUGCAGAAGCGGGGAUAAAUACAUAAGACGAGAAGACCCUAUGGAGCUUUAGACACUAAAAUGGCCCAUGUCAAUAACCCCAAGAAAAAGGAAAAAACCAAAUGGGACCCACCUUGAUGUCUUUGGUUGGGGCGACCGCGGGGAAAUAAAUAACCCCCACGUGGAGUGGGAGCACCUCCUCCUAAAACUAAGAGUGACAACUCUAAUCAACAGAAAUUCUGACCAGGAAGAUCCGGCAAUGCCGAUCAACGGACCUAGUUACCCUAGGGAUAACAGCGCAAUCCUCUUUUAGAGCCCAUAUCGACAAGAGGGUUUACGACCUCGAUGUUGGAUCAGGACAUCCUAAUGGUGCAGCCGCUAUUA
rnacentral:rRNA from 1 species